rnacentral:rRNA from 1 species
UGCCAGCAGCCGCGGUAAUACGGAGGGAGCUAGCGUUGUUCGGAAUUACUGGGCGUAAAGCGUGCGUAGGCGGAUCGACAAGUUGGGGGUGAAAUCCCGGGGCUUAACCCCGGAACUGCCCUCAGAACUGUCGAUCUAGAGACCGGGAGAGGAAAGUGGAAUUCCGAGUGUAGGGGUGAAAUCCGUAGAUAUUCGGAGGAACACCAGUGGCGAAGGCGGCUUUCUGGACCGAUACUGACGUUGAGACGCGAAAGCGUGGGGAGCAAACAGGAUUAGAUA